CGCGGUCCUUGCGCUUCUUCUGGUAGUACAGGGUUCCGCGCCGCACCACGUAGCAGGCGGCGGCCUUGCGGAUCUUCCUCUUGACGUUGCCCUCGGUCCCCGGCGCAUAAGGUUCCUUCUCGUUGGUCAGGGAGCGGGAAAGGUUCCUCGGAAAGAUAAAAUGGCUGCUGCACAACCGGAGAUGACAUAAGGCCAUCGUGACCCUUGAACCGGACGACCAUUCUUUGGCACAUGGCUGCUAUUGCUCUGUUGGUUAAAGCCGCGACUUUCUUGGGGACGGUCCCUCACGGGACAUGUCAGGUGAUACGGAAAACUCCGCUUCGCAGCGAUAUGAUGUUGGAAAUGGAAGCAACGUUUUCAGUGCUUUCGUGGCUAUCUCAGGAUAUUUAGCCUUGACUUUGAUCCAGAAUGCCGGCAGAGAUGUUAUGUCAAACAAACUUUUCAGCCCGCCGUCAUUUAUAAGCUCGAGGAGUCGAUCUUCUUCCCGCGAUGACAUGGAUGACGCGCGCGUAAUGAUCUUGCGUGCGUUCAAGUUCAACAGUGCUUGACAGGGAAUGAGGAAAGGUGCAAAUGACUCAUAUCGUUACAUAUCGCCAAAUCAUAUUGUUUCCUCACGGCCCGGUGGUUGGGGACCACUCUCAGCACGAAGAGAGAUCAAUCAGGAUGCUCACUCUCCCUCUCAAAAAAAAUCUAUUUCCGGGAUAUUGUAUAUAAUUUCCGGGCAUCAGGGAGCCACUAUCGAUAUGCGGGAGACUCCCGGAUCUUCCGGGAGAGGUGGUAUGUCUGCUAUAAUACUAAUUAAUACUGCCAAUAAAAUGCCA